rnacentral:rRNA from 1 species
AACGUAGGAGACGAACGUUAUCCGGAGUUACUGGGCGUAAAGGGCGUGUAGGCGGUUUGUUAAGUCUGGCGUGAAAGCUCUCGGCUAAACCGGGAGAGGUCGUUUGGAUACUGGCGAACUAGAGGAUGGUAGAGGCGUGUGGAAUUCCGGGUGUAGUGGUGAAAUGCGUAGAGAUCCGGAGGAACACCAGUGGCGAAGGCGACACGCUGGGCCAUACCUGACGCUAAAGCGCGACAGCAUGGGGAGCAAACGGG